GCCAGCAGCUGUAUCUCCCUGUAACUCACAACUGGCAGCCCACUGAAGCUCAGCAGGUGUGAGCCUGGUCAAUACCUGGAUGGGAGACCUCCUGGGAAAGCUAAGGAUGCUGCUGGAA
rnacentral:rRNA from 1 species